rnacentral:rRNA from 1 species
UACGGAGGAUGCAAGCGUUAUCCGGAAUGAUUGGGCGUAAAGCGUCCGCAGGUGGCAAUGUAAGUCUGCUGUCAAAGCGUCUGGUUCAACCAGAUAAAGGCAGUGGAAACUACAUAGCUAGAGUAAGGUAGGGGUAGAGGGAAUUCCUGGUGUAGCGGUGAAAUGCGUAGAGAUCAGGAAGAACACCGGUGGCGAAAGCGCUCUGCUGGACCUUAACUGACACUGAGGGACGAAAGCUAGGGGAGCGAAUGGG